rnacentral:misc_RNA from 1 species
AUCCCAAUCUUCGUUGUCAUCAACCUUUAUCACUUCAUAUCGUUGCGCCUUUUUUCUCAGUUUCCGUCCAUAGUCCAAACCUCCAAGGUUCCAAAUUUCUCCUAAAUGGAUCCUCUUUCGGCUCUCCGCGACUUCACCAUUCGCGGCGAAGUGGACAAGAUCGUCCGAGUUAACGAGGAGUUCCGUUUCGGAACCGAUUACACCUUCCCUUGCUCUAUAAAGACUGCUUAUCGCUCUAAGCACGGCAAUCUCUACACCCUCGAAACUCUGGUUUACUACAUCCAGAACGCCAAUCUCAAGUUCACUGAUUACCUCCAGAAUGCUCGUGCCGUUGGCCUCACCCCCAUAACCUUUAUCGACCGCAAGCCCCUUUUCGAUUACCUCACCGGAAAGCUCUCCUCCACCGACUCCAUCGUUUACCCUCUUCCCCAGCAGCAACAACAGCAUCAGCAAAACCCUAAUGCUGAUCUCGCCAACGAGUACCGACCCGACGACCCCGCUUUCCUCGAUUCUCAUGAUGCUGAUGUGGCGGGAGCUGAUAAUGGUAAAGAGGAGGAUCCCAUUACUAUGAUAUACUCCAUGGAGAGGCCUCUCAAGGAUAGGGAGUCGUUGUUGGAGUGCAAGAACAGAGAUUUUUAUAGUCUGCUGGGAUUCGAGUGCUGGUGGCCUCUACUCGGCGUGAAGAGGAGAGGCAGAGAAUCGAAUCCCAGCAGAGGAAGGAUGGGUUGGUGGCUAAGAGUAGAUUGAUGGGGGCUGACGAGAGAGGAAUUGGAUAUGGUGAUGAGCUGGGUUAUGAUGCGACACCCAAGCCCAAAAUGCAUUUGAAAGGAGGCAAAUUUGGGGAAGGAGUGCCCAUAAUUUUAGUUCCCAGUGCGUUCCAGACUUUGAUUACUAUUUAUAAUGUGAAGGAGUUUUUGGAGGAUGGAAUUUAUAUACCUACGGAUGUGAAGGUGAAGCAAAUGAAAGGGGCGAAGCCAGACUGUGUCACAGUACAGAAGAAAUUUAGUACUGAUAGGAAUAGGGUGAUGACUGCAUAUGAGGUCAGGGACAAGCCGUCUGCGCUCAAGGCUGAGGAUUGGGACCGGGUUGUGGCUGUUUUCGUGUUGGGAAAAGAGUGGCAAUUCAAGGAUUGGCCGUUUAAGGAUCACGUGGAGAUAUUUAAUAAAAUCAUUGGAUUUUUCAUGAGGUUUGAAGAUGACAGUGUAGAAUCAGCAAAGACUGUGAAGCAAUGGAAUGUAAAGAUCAUCUCGAUUAGCAAGAACAAGAGACACCAGGAUAGGGCAGCAGCAUUGGAAGUAUGGGACAGACUUGAAGAGUUUGUGCGCUCACGAUCACAUUCAUGAAUUUGAAAAUGGAACUGUAUCGUGACAAUUAUGAGUUGCACAAUGUCGUUCGACGUUGUGGAGUGUUGGGGAUGCCUUGUUCUGUAUAUAUGGAGAUGUCUAUGGUCAGGCCACUGAGUGCUUGUCUUUUGGUCAAUUAAAUGCCAAUGGCUUGUUGCAGCCGAUACUUAGUUUUCUGCAGAAGUGACAUGUGUUUGGACUACAAAAUUUUCAGUGUAAGGUCUGUUUUGACAAUGCUUUUCUUCCUUCCAUUUUUCUGUGCUUAAUGAUCUAAGUUUAUGGCAGAAGAUGGAGAAUGUAUUGAAUUAUGAACAAAUUUUGCUUUAUUAGUAGCAUAAACCUCAGUACGUAGAAGGUUUGCCAACUUAAUGGCUUUGAUGAACUUCUAGGCAAUUUUUGCUUGUUAUUUUUGGCCAUUUACAUGCUCA